CCUACGGGAGGCAGCAGUGAGGAAUAUUGGUCAAUGGACGAGAGUCUGAACCAGCCAAGUAGCGUGAAGGAUGACUGCCCUAUGGGUUGUAAACUUCUUUUAUAUGGGAAUAAAAUGUUACACGUGUGGGAUUUUGUAUGUACCAUAUGAAUAAGGAUCGGCUAACUCCGUGCCAGCAGCCGCGGUAAUACGGAGGAUCCGAGCGUUAUCCGGAUUUAUUGGGUUUAAAGGGUGCGUAGGUGGUUUGUUAAGUCAGUUGUGAAAGUUUGAGGCUCAAACGUGAAAUUGCAGGUGAUACUGGUAGGCUAGAGUACAGUUGAGGUGGGCGGAAUGCGUGGUGUAGCGGUGAAAUGCUUAGAGAUCACGAAGAACACCGAUUGCGAAGGCAGUUCACUAGACUGCAACUGACGUUGAGGCUCGAAAGUGUGGGUAGCAAACAGGAUUAGAUACCCGUGUAGUC
rnacentral:rRNA from 1 species